UACAUCAGGUUUCUAACCAAU
rnacentral:piRNA from 1 species